rnacentral:rRNA from 1 species
UACGGGGGGGGCAAGCGUUGUUCGGAAUUACUGGGCGUAAAGGGUUUGUAGGUGGCUGAUUAAGUCAGACGUGAAAUCCCUCAGCUUAACUGAGGAAGUGCGCCCGAAACGGGUAGGCUUGAGUACCGGAGAGGAGAGCGGAACACCCGGUGUAGAGGUGAAAUUCGUAGAUAUCGGGUAGAACACCAGUGGCGAAGGCGGCUCUCUGGACGGUAACUGACGCUGAGACGCGAAAGCAUGGGGAGCAAACAGG